GUCCCCACACACCUGGGCCAGGUGAGGCUGUGGGAGGAGCUGGAGGUGACACCUGAGCAGGCGCAGCCGCGGUGCCGGGAGGGCCCCGAACACCCGGGGACAAACAGCCGGGAACAGGCGGAGCUGGUGUGUCCAGGCCUCACCUGUCGGGAAUUCCGCUGCUCCAUCCCCCCCCUGAGCCCCCCCAGAACCUGGGGGUUCACCCUGGGGGGGAAACUGAGGCUGGAGUGGAUG